GAUGAACGCUAGCGGCAGGCCUAAUACAUGCAAGUCGGACGGGACUUGGGAGCUUGCUCCCAAUGAGAGUGGCGCACGGGUGCGUAACACGUAUGUAACCUACCUUAAUCAGGGGGAUAGCCUCUCGAAAGAGAGAUUAACACCGCAUAAUAUAUUUUUAUGGCAUCGUAGAAAUAUCAAAUAUUUAUAGGAUUAAGAUGGGCAUGCGGAACAUUAGCUAGUUGGUAAGGUAACGGCUUACCAAGGCUACGAUGUUUAGGGGAUCUGAGAGGAUGACCCCCCACACUGGUACUGAGACACGGACCAGACUCCUACGGGAGGCAGCAGUAAGGAAUAUUGGUCAAUGGGCGCAAGCCUGAACCAGCCAUGCCGCGUGCAGGAAGACGGCCCUAUGGGUUGUAAACUGCUUUUGUACCGGAAUAAACCCUUUUACGUGUAAAAGGCUGAAUGUACGGUAAGAAUAAGGAUCGGCUAACUCCGUGCCAGCCGCCGCGGUAA
rnacentral:rRNA from 1 species